GAGCAUGCCGGGAGCUGUAGUCCUGGCGCAGUGGCUGCCGGCCCUGUCACGUGGCUCGCCGGGGCGCGGCGGGAGGCGCGGUGUUCCGGCGCUCGGGUGCCGGGCGGCCGUGCCGCGUACGGUAGGCGCGGUGUAUUUUUGGGGUUGGAUUCGUGUUGAUUUCUGGGGGCUUCCAGGUGCGGCCGCUCCCCGAGAAGCGAGACCGUGCUGAGGACGUGGUUGUCUGUCCUUCCCCCGGGGAUGCCGUUGACUGCGGCCGUCUCAGGCUUGCGUGGCUUCUCUCUGCCCGGUGUUGCCAUCCUCGCAGCGCGGGGGCGAAAAGGGACACACAGAGCCCUUCCCGGCUGUGGACAGGAGCUGCCUCGGCUGAAGCUGGAGACACCAACGAAAGGUGGAGGACGGCCUAGAGUCUGGAGCUGCAGAAGAGGCAGGGCGGAGAGGAGGGGAAAGAAGCAUCUGAACGGCUAAAUUGUGCCAGCAGCGCUGAGAGCGAGAGUCGCGAGACCGUGCUGAGGACGUGGUUGUCUGUCCUUCCCCCGGGGAUGCCGUUGACUGCAGCCGUCUCAGGCUUGCGUGGCUUCUCUCUGCCCGGUGUUGCCAUCCUCGCAGCGCGGGGGCGAAAAGGGACACACAGAGCCCUUCCCGGCUGUGGACAGGAGCUGCCUCGGCUGAAGCUGGAGACGCCAACGAAAGGUGGAGGACGGCCUAGAGUCUGGAGCUGCAGAAGAGGCAGGGCGGAGAGGAGGGGAAAGAAGCAUCUGAACGGCUAAAUUGUGCCAGCAGCGCUGAGAGCGAGAGUCGCGAAGCACGUUGUCUGUUGUUCUGCUGACAUUAACGAUCGCCUAGGGACUAAAAUGCAGAUCGACAGAUGCGCUGAUUCGUACGCUCCGUGUUCCCGUAAUGGAACACCGUCUCUGGUUGGUUGAUUUCAUCGCUUUGGUUACAUUUCCCCCCUUUGGAAGUUUUGAAAUAAUCAUUUUCUCAAUACUUCCAUCCUAGAUCAAUAAUAUUCCACUAUGUCAGUUCAGUGUUUGGUUCAUCUUCUCAAAGUUUUCACUUGAUUGUGGUCUCUAGGGCAUAUGCAGGUUCCAUUUUAUACCCAAAAUUUUAUUAAUUUGUUGAACUACCUCUGCAAAAAAAUGUGGUCCUCUCCCAGAGGACAUUCCUGUUGGCACUCUAAAUCUUGGUAUUAUUUCUUUCAGCAACAUUUUAACUACUACUCUAGCUUUGUUGGUGCAGCACGAGAAAGCUUCUGGCCAACUAGAAAAUUUGUCCAUCAUCACUAACAAAUACUGCUAUAUCUAUUUUGUCUGGGUAACUCAGAGAACUUAAUUUGCUAAUAAUUUCCGGGAGAAUUUUUUGUUUUGUUACUCCUAAAGGUGGUUUCCUUUGGUUCAGGGGAU